rnacentral:rRNA from 1 species
AAUCAACGCUGGCGGCGUGCCUCAGACAUGCAAGUCGAACGAUUAAGACUUCCUUCGGGAAGUGUAUAAAGUGGCGCACGGGUGAGUAACACGUAGGUAAUGUGCCUUUGGGUGGGGAAUAACUUAGGGAAACUUAAGCUAAUACCGCAUAAUGCAGCGGCUCGACAUCGAGACAGUUGUUAAAGGAGUAAUCCGCCUAAAGAGCAGCCUGCGGCAGAUUAGCUAGUUGGUAAGGUAAUGGCUUACCAAGGCUACGAUCUGUAACCGACCGGGGAGGGUGGUCGGUCACACUGACACUGAAUAACGGGUCAGACUCCUACGGGAGGCAGCAGUCGGGAAUUUUGGGCAAUGGGCGAAAGCCUGACCCAGCAACGCCGCGUGAAGGAUGAAGUAUUUCGGUAUGUAAACUUCGUAAGAAUAGGAAGAAUAAAUGACGGUACUAUUUGUAAGGUCCGGCUAACUACGUGCCAGGCCGCCGUAACAC